rnacentral:rRNA from 1 species
AUGACCCGCUUGCAUCAUAGGCGUGUCUCAAUGGCUAGGUCGAACAAGUCUUCUUCUAGUGCCUCCGUAGGAAACAAUGGAUCAACUCGGCCAACUGCACAAACUAAAAAGCCUAGAACACCAAGAACUAGGACUUCAGCCGGUCUCAGACUAGAGGAAAUUGACAGACCGCUUAUAGUUCCCGUUGGCAUGGCAUGGGAAAGGCACCCAUACAGCGCUCGUGAUCCAUCAACAGUGCUAGGUGCCUUAGUGCGCCAGAUGUAUCCACCGCCAAUUGGUCCAAAAAUUGAUCAGAAACCGGUAUUGUGUUGGGAGGACUACAAGUGGUCCCCUGGUCCAGAAUGGCGUUUCAAGUGUGACCCAUCGGAGCAAGAGAAGGCAGAUGGUGUUUUGGAGGAGAACUUAACUAGGAAAGUGAAGCUGAUGCUACAUGAGGAAAAGGCGGCAGCCAUCAAAAGAUUAAAGAAGAAGGGACAAUUGCCUACAGAACUAACAGAAGAGGAUGAGGAUGGUAACCGCUGGCCAACUAAGGAAGCUUUAAUUUCUGCAAAGAGAGUUGACUUUGGUACAGACGUUGGUUGGCGUCUACUAUGUGAGCACUGGAGUAUACUGAAUUUGAGGAAACUCAAAACCGGGAAAGAUCCUGGAAUUUUUGGUGCUUGGCUUCACACGCACAAAUUGCAUCGAGGGACUGAUGAAGAGCAGAUAUGCAGUCAAAGAACUGCUGAUCAUUGGGAGGAUUUUGAUAAGGCAAUGAAAAAUGCCCAUGGAGAAAAUUGGGAAGAGGAGCACCCGGAUUUAGAUGGACAAAUCAUCUACGAAGCAGCAGGCAGAAUGCCACAUGGCAGGCUGGGAAUUGCUAAUGAGUUGUUUAGCAAAGCAGAGAAGGCGAAGUUUAAGUCUAAAAGGGCGAUGGCCUCACAGCCGGUGCAAUCUCCUAAGGAGGAGCGUCUAGAAAGAGAACACAAACAUUUGAAGCAGGAGAUCAAGCGUCUUCGAGGCAUUGAGCUUGUUGUUCAGUCUUUGGCUGAGGAAGGGGGAGUCGACUUUGAUGGCAUAAUGCAAUCAGCAGCAGAUGACUUGUCUCCAUCAUAUUCUGAAGGCGGAUUUCAAAGGGGACAAGGUGAUGUGCCUCAACACCAAACCGAAAAGGGAAUGGGAAGCAGGACUGGAGGCAGUACAAGUCAUGGAAAUGAUGAUGAGGAUGACUACUAUGGCAAUGGGGGAUAUGAUAACUAUGGCGAGGGUGAUCUGUAUGGUGAUGAGCACUACGAUCACUAUGGCGAUGGGGAAUAUGAUGACUAUGGAGAUGAGGAUGACUAUGGCUCUGGCUAUGGCGGUGGCGAUGGCGAUGAUGAUGAUUGGCUAUAA